rnacentral:rRNA from 1 species
CCUAUACAUGCAGUCGAGCGGACAGAAGGGAGCUUGCUCCCGGAUGUUAGCGGCGGACGGGUGAGUAACACGUGGGUAACCUGCCUGUAAGACUGGGAUAACUCCGGGAAACCGGAGCUAAUACCGGAUAGUUCCUUGAACCGCAUGGUUCAAGGAUGAAAGACGGUUUCGGCUGUCACUUACAGAUGGACCCGCGGCGCAUUAGCUAGUUGGUGGGGUAAUGGCUCACCAAGGCGACGAUGCGUAGCCGACCUGAGAGGGUGAUCGGCCACACUGGGACUGAGACACGGCCCAGACUCCUACGGGAGGCAGCAGUAGGGAAUCUUCCGCAAUGGACGAAAGUCUGACGGAGCAACGCCGCGUGAGUGAUGAAGGUUUUCGGAUCGUAAAGCUCUGUUGUUAGGGAAGAACAAGUGCGAGAGUAACUGCUCGCACCUUGACGGUACCUAACCAGAAAGCCACGGCUAACUACGUGCCAGCAGCCGCGGUAAUACGUAGGUGGCAAGCGUUGUCCGGAAUUAUUGGGCGUAAAGGGCUCGCAGGCGGUUUCUUAAGUCUGAUGUGAAAGCCCCCGGCUCAACCGGGGAGGGUCAUUGGAAACUGGGAAACUUGAGUGCAGAAGAGGAGAGUGGAAUUCCACGUGUAGCGGUGAAAUGCGUAGAGAUGUGGAGGAACACCAGUGGCGAAGGCGACUCUCUGGUCUGUAACUGACGCUGAGGAGCGAAAGCGUGGGGAGCGAACAGGAUUAGAUACCCUGGUAGUCCACGCCGUAAACGAUGAGUGCUAAGUGUUAGGGGGUUUCCGCCCCUUAGUGCUGCAGCUAACGCAUUAAGCACUCCGCCUGGGGAGUACGGUCGCAAGACUGAAACUCAAAGGAAUUGACGGGGGCCCGCACAAGCGGUGGAGCAUGUGGUUUAAUUCGAAGCAACGCGAAGAACCUUACCAGGUCUUGACAUCCUCUGACAACCCUAGAGAUAGGGCUUUCCCUUCGGGGACAGAGUGACAGGUGGUGCAUGGUUGUUGUCAGCUCGUGUCGUGAGAUGUUGGGUUAAGUCCCGCAACGAGCGCAACCCUUGAUCUUAGUUGCCAGCAUUCAGUUGGGCACUCUAAGGUGACUGCCGGUGACAAACCGGAGGAAGGUGGGGAUGACGUCAAAUCAUCAUGCCCCUUAUGACCUGGGCUACACACGUGCUACAAUGGACAGAACAAAGGGCUGCAAGACCGCAAGGUUUAGCCAAUCCCAUAAAUCUGUUCUCAGUUCGGAUCGCAGUCUGCAACUCGACUGCGUGAAGCUGGAAUCGCUAGUAAUCGCGGAUCAGCAUGCCGCGGUGAAUACGUUCCCGGGCCUUGUACACACCGCCCGUCACACCACGAGAGUUUGCAACACCCGAAGUCGGUGAGGUAACCUUUAUGGAGCCAGCCGCCGAAGGUGGGGCAGAUGAUUGGGGUGAAGUCGAA